UCUUCCUUUGACAAGAUGGUGGUGGGAGGCGGUGGCGCUGGUGGGAAGUACAGCUCGAAAAGUGAUGACGAUUGCGGCUUCCUGGGGCUGUGGCCUACUUUGGUGGACCGAGCACUGAGGCAGCAGUGGCGAGGCCCAAGAAAUAAGUGCGGCUGGCAGCAGCUCGCUCAGGAGCCGCUGGGGCUGGAGGUUGACCAGUUCCUGGAAGAUGUGCAGCUGCAGGAGGGCAUGAGCGUGGCUCGUUGUCAGAGGUCCCGAAUGAAAACCUCUUCUUAAUGCACCCUGGCUCCCAGGAAAAAGGGCUAAGAAGAGAACCAAAGUCCAGAAGUCACUGCUUCUCAAGAAACCUCUUCGGGUUGACCUCCUCCUCGAGAACACAUCCAAAGUCCCUGCCCCCUAAGAUGUCCUUGCCCAUCAGGGCCCCAACGCCAAGAAGCUCAGGCGGAAGGAGCCGCUCUGGGAGAAGCUGGCCAAGCAGGCCGAGCUGCCCCGGGGAGGCCCGCAGGGCCCAGGCCCAGCUCCUCAACUCUCCUGCCUCCAAGUCCAAGCCCGGGCCCCAGGACACCGUGGAGCGGCCCUUCUACGACCUCCGGGCCCCAGACAACAGCCGUUGGUUGGCCAGGCCGUUGGUUGGCCAGGAUGCGUUUUUCCUGGAGCAGACCAAGAAGAAGGGAGUGAAGCGGCCACCACGCCUGCACACUAAGCGGUCCCAGGCCCCCACCCUGGAGGUGGCGCCUGCCGGAGCCUCCUACAACCGGUCCUUUGAAGACCGCCAGACCCUGCUCUCAGCGGCCCACGAGGUGGCGUUACGGCGGCAGACGGAGGCGGGGAAGCUGGAGCGGCAGCUGGCCUUGCCCGCCACGGAGCAGGCCGCAGACAAGCUUGGGACAGACCUCGGCAUCCCCAGCCCCCGGCCCCUCGCCCUGGCCCGGCUCCUCCUCACGGUUCCAGGAGCUGUGCGAGGGGCUGCUGGAGGAGUCGGACGGUGACAGGGAGCAGGGCUUGGACGAGGGGCCGGAGGCUGGGGAGGCCAAGGUCUGCCCCACGCCCGCCCGCCAGGCCGCCACAGAGAGGAAGACCGAGCAGCAGCGGCGGCGGGAGAAGGCUGCGUGCAGAGCAGGCCGCGUUGCGGGCGGCCUGGCUCCGGCACCAGGAGCUGUUCCGGCUGCGCCUGUUCAAGGCCCAGGUGGCCCUGAGGCUGGCGGAGCUGGCGCGGCGGCGGGAGGCCGAGACUGACAAGCCCCGAAGGCUGGGGCGGAUCAAGUGCUAGGCAUCCAGACGUGCAGCUCAGCUCAGAACUGACUGACUCGCUCAGGACUCUGAAGCCCGAAGGCAACAAACAUCUUUGGAGACCGGCUCUAGAGCUUCCAGAGGAGGAAUAUGAUCGAGCCUGGAGAGCCAAGUUCUAGCCAAAGUACAAGGUGAAGCUGAUGGAGAAAUGGGUGUUAAAGGAGAUCCAGUUGUAGCUGUUAAUCAGACGCCGGAGCCACGCCCUUCAAUAAAAAGUCCCUUCUAACC